UAGUGACUAGCAUAGGCAGAGG
rnacentral:miRNA from 1 species